UGGGUACUGGUAGUUUGCUUUUGUAAUAUUUCUCAAGAUGCAUAACACGACAUAUAGGUUUACUUUUGGUUUUAUGCAAUGUCACAGUGGAUCCCACUAAUGGUUGAAAUACAAUCACUAUGUACGAUAUUUUUAUCACUUUAAUUAUUUCUGUUUCUAUUUGGUACUGGUUUUUGUUUCAAAUGGGUAUCUGUUUGUAUCACUUUUGGUUAUAUAUCACACUAUGUACAGGCUCAAUAAUAUUAUUGGGGACCCAAUUUCAGAGACUUUGUACUGCAUUAGUAAUGUUAUUGUACUGGCUAUAUCAAUUUGGUACUAUUGCUAUAUGUUACUGCUCAUAAACCCUGAAAAUGAUGUUCAAUUUAGCCAGUAAUUUUUAUUUACAGCUUCUUCUGUUUAUACUUGGUAUUGAUUUUUUCAAAUUGGUGGUGAUUAAUAUUUGGUACUUAUUUUCCAACUUGGUACUGAUUUACUGUUAUUUUUUCCAUUCCAUCACCAAAAUUGCAUUGUAGAAUAUGGAUGCUAUCAUGAAUCAUAAACUACAGGGAGUCCAUGGAUAAUGCUAAAAGUAACAUAACCCACCCAUGGUUUAUAUUGACAUUUGAUGCUGGUUUUGAAACAGGUUUUUGCUACUGGUUCAGGUUAAUACUAGUGUUGCACCAGAUUUGGCUAUUAGUACCUGUCAUGUCACAUGGUUUGGUGAAUGAAACUAGUUUGUGUCGUGGAUCAACAUGUGAAUAAUGAUCCGUCGAUUGUUAUAUUUCUAAAUUUUCAAGCAUUUGCGAACAUUGAUUGAUGAGUAUUGAGUAAUAUACAUGCCUAAUAUUU
rnacentral:lncRNA from 1 species